rnacentral:rRNA from 1 species
AUUGAACGCUGGCGGCAGGCCUAACACAUGCAAGUCGAACGAGUGGCGGACGGGUGCGUACUGUCUGGGAAACUGCCCGAUGGAGGGGGAUAACUACUGGCAACGGUAGCUAAUACCGCAUACCAUCGGAUGUGCCCAGAUGGGAUUGGCUAGUAGGUGGGGUAACGGCUAACCUAGGCGACGUUCACUAGCUGGUCUGAGCGGAUGAACGGCCACACGGGAACUGAGACACGGUCCAGCCUCCUACGCGAGGCAGAAGUGGGGAAUAUUGCACAGUGGGCUCAAGCCGGAUGCAGCCAGGCGGCGUGUAUGAAGAAGGCCUUCGGGUUGUAAAGUACUUUCAGCGAGGAGGCGUUACUCGCAGAAGAAGCACCGGCUAACUCCGUGCCAGCCGCCGCGGUAAUUC